rnacentral:lncRNA from 1 species
UCGGGUGCUACACUUAUUGCUUUUGAUUAAGAUGUAUGAUUGAGUUACUGAAUAUGACAUUUGUUGAGAGAAGGAAGAUUACCAUGGGUGAAUUGCAAGAGAGUAAAGAAUGAGGUGGUGGAUGAAGUGUGAAUGAAAGGUUACAUGCAUUGAUGUCUUGUUUAUUUGAUUUAGGAGUUUGAGAUAAAAUUAAUCUAUUUCAUUUCUUGGCAUGUUAGGAGAACUGUCUUAAAAAUGUGCUCUCCAAUGCGUAAUCAAAAUAUAUCAAAAUAGACAUUGGCAGGUAACUUAAAGUCAGUUUUAGUUAUACAAAAUGUGUUGGGGGUGGGGAUGAGAGUUGGGGAGGCUCGUAGAAAAGCUAAAACCCUCAAAACCAUGGACAUUUACAGGGCAGAAAAUAAAUGCAAUGUUUGAAGUUGAAUUCUCUAAAUGGCACCUGGAUUUGGGCAGCUGAAAAUGAUAGUAACAUUCACAAUGAAGAACUGAAAUUCUCCCCAAAGUAAUCAUGCUCUGAAUGUACAGUAGUCUUCUCCGACUAUUUGCUAAUUCUUCUGCUUUGCUAAAGGGUCCUGCUGGGCAUAUUACUGCCUCCAUUUUACAGAUGGAGAAAAAGGAAAUAAUGAAAUUCUAAACUGUACCAAUUCACGAAGUAAGUCAGUGACACAGGCAGAAACAGAAAACUAGAUCUUCUUGCUCCCAGACCAGAGCUCCAGUCAUCAAACCAAAUUCCUACCGUGUAGUCGAUUCUAAAUCCAGUUGCUGAUUUUUGUCUACAGAAUGGAACACAAGUGACCAAAUACACCACGGAGUUGAGAUUAUUAGCCCUCUUCAGAUGGUCUGGGCUGGCUUCACACUCCGGAAGGCUGGCUACCACUGAUGAGACUUUUUUGCAUGCCUCCUUCUCUUUUCUAAUCAGGACCAGCCAUUACAAAGCAGUCUUCCCCGCCCCAAGGC